rnacentral:lncRNA from 1 species
AGCCUGUUUCUGCCUAUCACCAUGAGUGAUUCCUCAAUACUCAGAUUUAUCAUCAAGAUCUCAAUUAUAAGCUCAAGUUUUGAUGACAACUUGGUGAUCUGCAGAAAGCCCCACCAUGUAAGGAAGGCCAAGACCACUCUGGAAUCAGUCAAGGGAUUGCAGUGACCAGACAUGCUACUGUAACUCUCAUGGUCAUGUGCUGGAAUUAGCAGAUAUUCAACAAUUUGGCCAUCUCGCUGACCUGUUGAUAUCAGAAGACCGCAACAGCUCUACAAAGCAAGUUGCAAAACAGAAUCCAUGAAACUGGCAGUGACUGGAAACCAAUUGGAAGACUUUGGUCUGUGAUGUAGAGGAGUGGGCAGAGGCAGAAGCAAAGACAACAAAAAACAGAAGUGAUAUGGAUGUCUUUGUCAUAUUGCAUGACUCUGCUGACCCAGCAACAAAGAGGAGGGUGUUCAACAUCAUCCUGCUGGUCAGGAUUCUUCAGGAGAAGCAGUGGAUUCUUGUGGCAGAGAUGUUCAACCACUAUAAAUACCUUUCAACUCAUCCUGGUUCUUUCAAAGAACUUUCUUGCUUGUUUGCUACUGAAAUAUUCGACAUGUGCCCUUAACGAAGAGGGGUUAAAAGGUCUAUGGAUCAUCAUUCUCAAAAAGCAACAAAAUAACUGAGAAAUAAACAACAAUACGAUGGUGCAAUCUAGAGACCUGCAAGGUACCUGCAAGUUUUGGCUGGAGCAGAGAACAUAGAUUUUUUUUAAAUAAAGCUCCAGCUGAUGAGUAUGACAUUGACUGUGGAUGUUCUUUUACUGUAAUCCAGAAGAGGAUGACCUCAACCCUGAAUCUAAAGCAUGUAAUAAAAUCUGUAAAAAAUUAAAUAAAAUUGUCAUC